UACACUCCUACGGGAGGCAGCAGUGGGGAAUAUUGGACAAUGGGCGCAAGCCUGAUCCAGCCAUGCCGCGUGAGUGAUGAAGGCCCUAGGGUUGUAAAGCUCUUUCACCGGUGAAGAUAAUGACGGUAACCGGAGAAGAAGCCCCGGCUAACUUCGUGCCAGCAGCCGCGGUAAUACGAAGGGGGCUAGCGUUGUUCGGAUUUACUGGGCGUAAAGCGCACGUAGGCGGACUAUUAAGUCAGGGGUGAAAUCCCGGGGCUCAACCCCGGAACUGCCUUUGAUACUGGUAGUCUUGAGUUCGAGAGAGGUGAGUGGAAUUCCGAGUGUAGAGGUGAAAUUCGUAGAUAUUCGGAGGAACACCAGUGGCGAAGGCGGCUCACUGGCUCGAUACUGACGCUGAGGUGCGAAAGCGUGGGGAGCAAACAGGAUUAGAAACCCGGGUAGUCCCAUGA
rnacentral:rRNA from 1 species